rnacentral:rRNA from 1 species
UAUGUGAUCGUCUCUCGCAUAUCAAUAAGCGGAGGAAAAGAAACUAACAAGGAUUCCCCUAGUAACGGCGAGUGAAGCGGGAAGAGCUCAAAUUUGAAAUCUUAAAGGGUUUCCCUUUACGAAUUGUAGUUUAAAGAAGUGUUUUCUGUUGAGGUUUUGGUAAAAGUUCUUUGGAAUAGGACAUCAUAGAGGGUGAGAAUCCCGUAUUUGACCUUUACUUUCAACUUUGUGAUACACUUUCAAAGAGUCGGAUUGUUUGGGAAUGCAGUCCAAAAUGGGUGGUAAAUUUCAUCUAAAGCUAAAUAUUGGCGAGAGACCGAUAGCGAACAAGUACCGUGAGGGAAAGAUGAAAAGAACUUUGAAAAGAGAGUUAAACAGUACGUGAAAUUGUCAAAAGGGAAGCGUUUGACACCAGUGUUGUUUUUCUGAAAAUCAAUUAAAGAACUGUUUAUGCUAAGCUGUUUAGACUUUAUCAGCUAAUCUGUUUAGUUUUGAGCUUUUCUUUAAUGCACUUUUCAGUUAACAAGUCAACAUCAAUUUCUUUUGCUGUAAAAAAGCUUGAGGAAGGUGGCUUGAGAUUCGUCUUAAGUGUUUAUAGCCUCUUGCCUAUGCAGUCGGAGAGAUUGAGGUCUGCAGCGUAGAUCCUUCGGGGCUAAAUGCAUUUGUGCUAAGUUAUAGCAUUUUAUAGACAACUUGUUGACUAUGAUUUGUCUUGUAGCUUACUCGCUUAUGUUAUUUUACCUACGCUUAGGAUGUUGAAGAUAUGCGCGACACG